rnacentral:lncRNA from 1 species
ACAUGAGUGUGACAUGAAAACUAUGUAAUAUAAAUAAUAUAAUAAUAAUAAUAAUCUAGUAUGGGGAAUUAGUGUGGAACCAAACAUAGCUUUAUGGCUUUUGGUUAUUUCAACUGACGCUGCCUUUUGGCUUAUUCAACUGACGUUUGUGGGAGUCGGUUUAUAACUCUACGCAUUAUUUUCUAAGGCUUGUUAGCAUAGAAAGAAAGCAGAGGAAGAUGAGAUUGAGAGUGAGAGCUUGAGAGAUUGUUCUGAGGUUUCAAGAGGAAGGAGAGGAUUGCUAAACCUAGUCACCAUCUUGUGCUAAUCAAGAAGAUUAAGGUAUAAUUAACUCCUAAAUCUCUAAAUUUUAGUUUUGUCUGAGUUCUAUGUAAAUUGAUUUUUGUUGAAUCGUUGUUUCAAACGUGAUUAUGUGAUAUUGGUUAUAUUGUAUAAUCUGUUGUCAUCAUGUAUCAGUGUUGUAUCAGUUAUUCAAUUUGUGAGAAUUGGGUUUAUAGGAGGGAAUUGAAAUAUCAGUGUUAUGUUCAUUUGUUAUGGCCUUAGAGAGUACCGAUUUUAGUGGUCAAUGUGUGUAUAAAAUUGUAAAUUGAUGCUUGCAUAUGGUAGUCCAUUGAGAUACGAACAUAAUGUAAUUUGAAUGGAAUGAUUUGGCCAAAUAACGAAUUCGCAGUGAUGAUUUUUGGGAUAGACUGUCAAAAAUGGAGUUUUAUAUGAAAAACAUGAAAAUUGAGAAAUUAAAAUAGUUUAAUUUGAUGUUUAAUUGUUCUAAGUUAAUGAAUAUGUGAGGAAACAUGUAUGUGUUAGUUUUAUAUCAGUUGGAUGUGCUAAUUUCACCGUUUGAUAGGUGAAAUUUGUGUUUGUUGGGAUAAAAAAGGCUACUGUUCACUGCCGUCUCUGCGUCUGUCUGAACUCCGGCGCAGCUGCGCCGGUGCCAAGGCAAAAAAUGGCGCAGCUGCGCCGGUCCCAAGCCUAAGUGUGGCGUAGCUGCGCCACACCCUGAACUAAGACAGUGAGGUCUGCUUAUUGGCAGAUCAUGUGUAGUGGACUUAUAUUAGUUUAGCAUGCAUGUUAAUGAUGUUGAGGCAUAAUAUAAACCACAAUAACAGAUUGUCAUGUGUUGUUAUAUAAAGUGUAAAAUAAUUUAAGUGAUUACCUGAAUAAGUUAUGUAAUGAAACCAAAUGAGAUGUUUUCGAAAGAUAGAGUUGAACGAUUAAGUUGUGUUGAUCAAUGUGUAAUUUCAGAUUCGUUAAGUAUAUUUAACCUACGUGGUUAGGUGUUAAGUUAGGGUUGUGACUUAAAUGAUGGUUUAAACCCUAAAGUUAGUAUUCAUGCGAUUAAUUGUUGUGGCGAUUUCAAUGAUACGUGUAGGAUAAUUAGAGAUUAUUUUCAUUUGUGUAGCUUAAAAUUAAGGCAAGUUCUCUAACCCUACUUUUAUAGUUGUGCAAGUUUCUAAACCUUGUCUCUUUACAAUUGAGCAAGCUUUCUAACUUCAUUCUUUUCAUAUUGAAUGCAAGUUCCCAUUUCUAUAUUAUUAUUGUUCAAGUUCUUAAAAUUGAGCAAACUUAAUCUAUCUUGAAUAUGUUUGUACAAGCUCUUAUAACCUAAUUCGUUAUAUCGAGCGAGUUUUACUUUACUAAUUAUUAUUCAAAGCACAUAUUGUUCUAAUACAUCGAUUCAAAUGAGAUUGUUCUAACUCUUUUGGUUAUAGCAUUUUGUAUGUAUAUCAUGUAAUUCCAAUGUAUCUAUUGUUGAUAUCCGAUCUUUGACUUUGAUAGCCUUGUUCAGUUAUAAAUUCUGGUAUUAAACCUUUACUGAUGUAAAUCAAAUAGUGUUCUAAAAUUCUAGAAACACUGAUAAGCUAGUUCCAAACUAAACUUUCUUUAGUGCGGAAAUUCUAAAUCCAAACUGAGACGAACAACCCUAACAUAGGGGAUUUUGUACGUGUAACGUUUAGAUGUUUGUGCACAAUAUAUGGUACAAAGGGUUGAUCCCCCUAAGUACGUUAAGAAGGGUCCGUAUAGUCUAAAUGACUGUUAAGGUUGGGUAAUAACACCUAAGUACCAGGGACAUAGUUCGUGGUCUUAAGACCCUCAGAUAAUUAAAGUUCGAACUUGUUUUCUAGUUUGAUUUGUAGAACAAGUUCCUUAUUGUUCAGCUUUCGUUGUUCACUCUCAUAUUAUUAUCAUUGCUAUGUUCUAUGUUAGUGAGCAUUUGUUUGCUCACUCUUGCAAAUAACACUGCAACUAAAGUGGAGAAAGUUGAUGAGCCGUCGACUAGCAAAGGCAAGGGCAAGAUGUCCAAAUGAUGAAGACUUUUGAGAAUUUUAUUUUAAUNNNN